GACGAACGCUGGCGGCGUGCUUAACACAUGCAAGUCGAACGGAAAGGCUCCAGCUUGCUGGAGUACUCGAGUGGCGAACGGGUGAGUAACACGUGGGUGAUCUGCCCUGCACUUCGGGAUAAGCCUGGGAAACUGGGUCUAAUACCGGAUAGGACCGCACUUUGGUGUGUGUGGUGGAAAGGUUUUUCUGGUGUGGGAUGAGCUCGCGGCCUAUCAGUUUGUUGGUGGGGUAAUGGCCUACCAAGACGGCGACGGGUAGCCGGCCUGAGAGGGUGGACGGGCACAUUGGGACUGAGAUACGGCCCAGACGCCGACGGGAGGCAGCAGGGGGGAAUAUUGCACAAUGGGGGAAACCCUGAUGCAGCGACGCCGCGUGGGGGAAGAAGGCCUUCGGGUUGUAAACGCCUUUCGCUAGGGACGAAGCUUUUUGUGACGGUACCUGGAGAAGAAGCACCGGCUAACUACGUG
rnacentral:rRNA from 1 species